UACGUAGGGUGCGAGCGUUAAUCGGAAUUACUGGGCGUAAAGCGUGCGCAGGCGGUUUUGUAAGCCAGGUGUGAAAUCCCCCGGGCUCAACCUGGGAAUGGCAUUUGGGACUGCAAGGCUGGAGUGCGGCAGAGGAGACUGGAAUUCCUGGUGUAGCAGUGAAAUGCGUAGAUAUCAGGAGGAACACCGAUGGCGAAGGCAGGUCUCUGGGCUGACACUGACGCUCAUGCACGAAAGCGUGGGGAG
rnacentral:rRNA from 1 species